rnacentral:tRNA from 1 species
GGGGAUUUAGCUCAGUUGGUAGAGUGCUUGCCUUGCAUGCACAAGGCCCUGGGUUCAAUCCCCAGCACCACCA